GUUUCAGAUGAACCCUUGUUGGGUUGAAGUACGCGAUAGUUUCGUGAUGAGGCAGUAUUGAGAAUGUUUCAGAUGAACCCUUGUUGGGUUGAAGUAAGGGGUAACAAUCGACCCAACAGGAGAGCAUUUGAGUUUCAGAUGAACCCUUGUUGGGUUGAAGUAUGCAGGAAAAUCAGCCUCCGCGAGAGAGUUAUGCUCGUUUCAGAUGAACCCUUGUUGGGUUGAAGUGUCCGUGCCGGUGGCAGGAUUGUCGUCGCCAGGUGAGUUUCAGAUGAACCCUUGUUGGGUUGAAGUCCCUUCAUAGAUAACUGUAAGAUUUGAGUUGGUUUGGUUUCAGAUGAACCCUUGUUGGGUUGAAGUUGCCCGAUAACGCCAGCGACGAUUGCGAGCAUAAACGCGUUUCAGAUGAACCCUUGUUGGGUUGAAGUCGUUGAGAUGUCGGUCGCCUGUUUUUGUGCGCUGGUUUCAGAUGAACCCUUGUUGGGUUGAAGUAGUCAUCGGAAGAUGCCUCCCUGCUCGCCAGUCGGCGUUUCAGAUGAACCCUUGUUGGGUUGAAGUCGCGCUCGAGACGAUGUUGACGCAAUCAGCAACGAGUUUCAGAUGAACCCUUGUUGGGUUGAAGUUGAAAGUCGUUGUGUGACCACAAUAUAACUAAUCUGGUUUCAGAUGAACCCUUGUUGGGUUGAAGUCGUGUUCAGUACGUCUGAAUUAAUCGGACUAUCAAGUUUCAGAUGAACCCUUGUUGGGUUGAAGUAAGCCAUACGACCGGCGUCGAAAACGGUCCCGACGUGUUUCAGAUGAACCCUUGUUGGGUUGAAGUCGAUAUUAACGUUUGAAUCAAACGAAUAAUCAAUAGUUUCAGAUGAACCCUUGUUGGGUUGAAGUAUAACCACUUAGUUCAUCACGAACAUACUCGCCGAGUUUCAGAUGAACCCUUGUUGGGUUGAAGUCGGGGUUGUCAUUAUCAAAAGCGUCUAUCAUAUCGCGUUUCAGAUGAACCCUUGUUGGGUUGAAGUUAACAGCUUCAGCAGCGGUCCCAGCCACGGACAGGGUUUCAGAUGAACCCUUGUUGGGUUGAAGUUUUAGGUGGUUGAUUGUCGGAUAGAUCAUCAAAGAUGGUUUCAGAUGAACCCUUGUUGGGUUGAAGUACUGAGGCAUUUACUGCAAAGGGUUUCUCGAUCGAGUUUCAGAUGAACCCUUGUUGGGUUGAAGUUGUUGAUGUUGGCCCAACAACUAACGGCAAGAGAGUUUCAGAUGAACCCUUGUUGGGUUGAAGUAUCACACGUAUGCUGACGCAACCGAAAACGCAAAACUUUCAGAUGAACCCUUGUCGGGUUGAACUGUCGGUCGAUCAUCGGCUGCGAGUCGAUGGCCCUAUUUCAGAUAGAGCUUUGUCGGGCUAAAGC
rnacentral:misc_RNA from 1 species